rnacentral:rRNA from 1 species
GUACACAAAAAUGCACAUAUUGUGAGCUCGAUGAGUAGGGCGGGACACGUGGUAUCCUGUCUGAAUAUGGGGGGACCAUCCUCCAAGGCUAAAUACUCCUGACUGACCGAUAGUGAACCAGUACCGUGAGGGAAAGGCGAAAAGAACCCCGGCGAGGGGAGUGAAAAAGAACCUGAAACCGUGUACGUACAAGCAGUGGGAGCCUCUUUAUGGGGUGACUGCGUACCUUUUGUAUAAUGGGUCAGCGACUUAUAUUCUGUAGCAAGGUUAACCGAAUAGGGGAGCCGAAGGGAAACCGAGUCUUAACUGGGCGUUAAGUUGCAGGGUAUAGACCCGAAACCCGGUGAUCUAGCCAUGGGCAGGUUGAAGGUUGGGUAACACUAACUGGAGGACCGAACCGACUAAUGUUGAAAAAUUAGCGGAUGACUUGUGGCUGGGGGUGAAAGGCCAAUCAAACCGGGAGAUAGCUGGUUCUCCCCGAAAGCUAUUUAGGUAGCGCCUCGUGAAUUCAUCUCCGGGGGUAGAGCACUGUUUCGGCAAGGGGGUCAUCCCGACUUACCAACCCGAUGCAAACUGCGAAUACCGGAGAAUGUUAUCACGGGAGACACACGGCGGGUGCUAACGUCCGUCGUGAAGAGGGAAACAACCCAGACCGCCAGCUAAGGUCCCAAAGUCAUGGUUAAGUGGGAAACGAUGUGGGAAGGCCCAGACAGCCAGGAUGUUGGCUUAGAAGCAGCCAUCAUUUAAAGAAAGCGUAAUAGCUCACUGGUCGAGUCGGCCUGCGCGGAAGAUGUAACGGGGCUAAACCAUGCACCGAAGCUGCGGCAGCGACACUAUGUGUUGUUGGGUAGGGGAGCGUUCUGUAAGCCUGUGAAGGUGGCCUGUGAGGGUUGCUGGAGGUAUCAGAAGUGCGAAUGCUGACAUAAGUAACGAUAAAGCGGGUGAAAAGCCCGCUCGCCGGAAGACCAAGGGUUCCUGUCCAACGUUAAUCGGGGCAGGGUGAGUCGACCCCUAAGGCGAGGCCGAAAGGCGUAGUCGAUGGGAAACAGGUUAAUAUUCCUGUACUUGGUGUUACUGCGAAGGGGGGACGGAGAAGGCUAUGUUGGCCGGGCGACGGUUGUCCCGGUUUAAGCGUGUAGGCUGGUUUUCCAGGCAAAUCCGGAAAACCAAGGCUGAGGCGUGAUGACGAGGCACUACGGUGCUGAAGCGACAAAUGCCCUGCUUCCAGGAAAAGCCUCUAAGCAUCAGGUAACAUCAAAUCGUACCCCAAACCGACACAGGUGGUCAGGUAGAGAAUACCAAGGCGCUUGAGAGAACUCGGGUGAAGGAACUAGGCAAAAUGGUGCCGUAACUUCGGGAGAAGGCACGCUGAUAUGUAGGUGAAGCGACUUGCUCGUGGAGCUGAAAUCAGUCGAAGAUACCAGCUGGCUGCAACUGUUUAUUAAAAACACAGCACUGUGCAAACACGAAAGUGGACGUAUACGGUGUGACGCCUGCCCGGUGCCGGAAGGUUAAUUGAUGGGGUUAGCGGUAACGCGAAGCUCUUGAUCGAAGCCCCGGUAAACGGCGGCCGUAACUAUAACGGUCCUAAGGUAGCGAAAUUCCUUGUCGGGUAAGUUCCGACCUGCACGAAUGGCGUAAUGAUGGCCAGGCUGUCUCCACCCGAGACUCAGUGAAAUUGAACUCGCUGUGAAGAUGCAGUGUACCCGCGGCAAGACGGAAAGACCCCGUGAACCUUUACUAUAGCUUGACACUGAACAUUGAGCCUUGAUGUGUAGGAUAGGUGGGAGGCUUUGAAGUGUGGACGCCAGUCUGCAUGGAGCCGACCUUGAAAUACCACCCUUUAAUGUUUGAUGUUCUAACGUUGGCCCGUAAUCCGGGUUGCGGACAGUGUCUGGUGGGUAGUUUGACUGGGGCGGUCUCCUCCUAAAGAGUAACGGAGGAGCACGAAGGUUGGCUAAUCCUGGUCGGACAUCAGGAGGUUAGUGCAAUGGCAUAAGCCAGCUUGACUGCGAGCGUGACGGCGCGAGCAGGUGCGAAAGCAGGUCAUAGUGAUCCGGUGGUUCUGAAUGGAAGGGCCAUCGCUCAACGGAUAAAAGGUACUCCGGGGAUAACAGGCUGAUACCGCCCAAGAGUUCAUAUCGACGGCGGUGUUUGGCACCUCGAUGUCGGCUCAUCACAUCCUGGGGCUGAAGUAGGUCCCAAGGGUAUGGCUGUUCGCCAUUUAAAGUGGUACGCGAGCUGGGUUUAGAACGUCGUGAGACAGUUCGGUCCCUAUCUGCCGUGGGCGCUGGAGAACUGAGGGGGGCUGCUCCUAGUACGAGAGGACCGGAGUGGACGCAUCACUGGUGUUCGGGUUGUCAUGCCAAUGGCACUGCCCGGUAGCUAAAUGCGGAAGAGAUAAGUGCUGAAA